UAUCAAUAUUCAAUAUGUAUAGCUCACAGAGUAAUUUAUCUACUAUGUAUACAUGCAUACAUAUAUAUGAAUAUCUGACUAAAUGUGUAUGUGUGUGCGUUCCUUGACUAAAGCUAGGUGUAAAUUUAAGCCUAAGUAGGUCUCUAACUGUGUAUAUGUAUAUGUAUGUGUGUACAAUUAAUUUAUUUAGCCAUUAAGCGCUGCCUCGAAGAGCUACAAACAGAGACAGAGAAAGACAGAAUGAGAGAGAGAGAGAGAUAGAGUGAGAUUGACAUUGUGAGUGAA